AUACGUAGGUGACAAGCGUUAUCCGGAUUUACUGGGCGUAAAGGGCGUGUAGGCGGUCUUGCAAGUCAGAAGUGAAAUUCCUGAGCUCAACUCGGGCGCUGCUUCUGAAACUGCAGGACUUGAGUGCUGGAGGGGAUAGCGGAAUUCCUAGUGGAGCGGUAAAAUGCGCAGAUAUUAGGAAGAACACCGGUGGCGAAGGCGGCUAUCUGGACAGUAACUGACGCUGAGGCGCGAAAGCACGGGGAGCAAACAGGAUUAGAUACCCUGGUAGUCCGUGCCGUAAACGAUGAAUACUAGGUGUAGGGGGUAUCGACUCCCUCUGUGCCGCAGUUAACACAUUAAGUAUUCCACCUGGGGAGUACGGCCGCAAGGUUGAAACUCAAAUGAAUUGACGGGG
rnacentral:rRNA from 1 species